GUGUGGUGCUACAGGCCAGGUGACAGACGUGUGGUGCUACAGGCCAGGUGACAGACGUGUGGUGCUACAGGCCAGGUGACAGACGUGUGGUGCUACAGGCCAGGUGACAGACGUGUGGUGCUACAGGCCAGGUGACAGACGUGUGGUGCUACAGGCCAGGUGACAGACGUGUGGUGCUACAGGCCAGGUGACAGACGUGUGGUGCUACAGGCCAGGUGACAGACGUGUGGUGCUACAGGCCAGGUGACAGACGUGUGGUGCUACAGGCCAGGUGACAGACGUGUGGUGCUACAGGCCAGGUGACAGACGUGUGGUGCUACAGGCCAGGUGACAGACGUGUGGUGCUACAGGCCAGGUGACAGACGUGUGGUGCUACAGGCCAGGUGACAGACGUGUGGUGCUACAGGCCAGGUGACAGACGUGUGGUGCUACAGGCCAGGUGACAGACGUGUGGUGCUACAGGCCAGGUGACAGACGUGUGGUGCUACAGGCCAGGUGACAGACGUGUGGUGCUACAGGCCAGGUGACAGACGUGUGGUGCUACAGGCCAGGUGACAGACGUGUGGUGCUACAGGCCAGGUGACAGACGUGUGGUGCUACAGGCCAGGUGACAGACGUGUGGUGCUACAGGCCAGGUGACAGACGUGUGGUGCUACAGGCCAGGUGACAGACGUGUGGUGCUACAGGCCAGGUGACAGACGUGUGGUGCUACAGGCCAGGUGACAGACGUGUGGUGCUACAGGCCAGGUGACAGACGUGUGGUGCUACAGGCCAGGUGACAGACGUGUGGUGCUACAGGCCAGGUGACAGACGUGUGGUGCUACAGGCCAGGUGACAGGUG